rnacentral:rRNA from 1 species
UUACGGGAGGCAGCAGUAGGGAAUAUUGCGCAAUGGGGGAAACCCUGACGCAGCAACGCCGCGUGAGUGAGGAAGGUCUUCGGAUUGUAAAACUCUUUUAUUUGGGAAAAAUGUCCAUAUGGCUAAUAUCCAUGUGGAGUGAUGGUACCAAAGGAAUAAGGACCGGCUAACUUCGUGCCAGCAGCCGCGGUAUACGAAGGGUCCAAGCGUUGUUCGGAAUCAUUGGGCGUAAAGCGCGCGCAGGCGGAUCAGCAAGUCAGAUGUGAAAUCUCGGAGCUCAACUUCGAAACUGCGUCUGAAACUGCUAGUCUAGAAUGUCGGAAGGGGUAGGGGAAUUUCACGUGUAGGGGUAAAAUCCGUAGAGAUGUGAAGGAACACCGGAGGCGAAGGCGCCUGCCUGGACGACUAUUGACGCUGAGGCGCGAAAGCGUGGGGAGCAAACAGGAUUAGAUACCCCUGUAGUCCC